GAUGAACGCUGGCGGCGUGCCUAAUACAUGCAAGUCGAGCGAACAGACGAGGAGCUUGCUCCUCUGACGUUAGCGGCGGACGGGUGAGUAACACGUGGAUAACCUACCUGUAAGACUGGGAUAACUUCGGGAAACCGGAGCUAAUACCGGAUAAUAUAUUGAACCGCAUGGUUCAAUAGUGAAAGACGGUUUUGCUGUCACGUAUAGAUGGAUCCGCGCCGCAUUAGCUAGUUGGUAAGGUAACGGCUUACCAAGGCAACGAUGCGUAGCCGACCUGAGAGGGUGAUCGGCCACACUGGAACUGAGACACGGUCCAGAGUCCUACGGGAGGCAGCAGUAGGGAAUCUUCCGCAAUGGGCGAAAGCCUGACGGAGCAACGCCGCGUGAGUGAUGAAGGUCUUCGGAUCUUAAAACUCUGUUAUUAGGAAAGAACAAAUGUGUAAGUAACUAUGCACGUCUUGACGGUACCUAAUCAGAAAGCCACGGCUAACUACGUG
rnacentral:rRNA from 1 species